UUAGAGAUAUGGGUAGAGACGCAUCGACACUCUGGAACCCUAAUCUCUUCUCUCUCGCGCAAGACCGACGAUCUCUUUCUGAGCCCUUUCAUCUUCUUUCGUUAGUCGUUCACGUUUUGUCAUUCAAUCCACCAUCAAACCUUAGGCUGAGAUGAUGAAUAUCUUCUGCCUCUCCUAUCUUUGUCGUUUCCGCUACUCCGUCCCUGUGUCUUUAUAAAUUAAACAUUUUAAAGCCUCUGAUGCUCUUUGACAAAAAAAAAGUCUCUUAAGCUCCCACGAACAGGCCCUGUAACACUACCGUCGAAACUUUGUGUUCUCAGAUUUUGCAAGGUCGGGAAUCGGGAUGUGAUAAGAAAUGGCAAGCUUAUGGGGUCGGUCUACUUCUUCUUGACGCUAAGCUUAUGCAGGCCCGGAUUGCAAAUCUUUAACGAGUCAUAUGAUUAUGAACUGACGUGAUCAAAUCAGAAGCCAAUCUAAUCCCAUGAGAUCUUCCCGUAAGGGUCAAUACCUAUGGCCCAGAUUGCAAACUUUUAAAAGAAAGUUGUUCAAGUAGAUGUCAAAGGUCUUGGCGCCACCACAUCCAUUGGUCAAACACUGGAUCUUUGUCAUGAGAAACGACCAACCUCCUACAGCUAUUUCAGGAAUGCAAUAGCUGAAAUAGGGAGACUAUUGAUGUUCGAAGCAUCUCGAGAGUGGCUGGAAUGGUUUCCAGAGGUAGGACUUUCUAUGCAACAAUUUUGACGAGCAAGCAACAGUUCACUGGAGAAGAAGAAAUAGGAGUCUCGAGCACACACGGCUCAGAUUCACGCUGAUGUCUUUGUAGCUGGUGUGGAUGCAUCUGUUAGCUGUCGCAGGAGCAACCGUUGUGUCUUCCAGCUUUGGGAAGGACGAGAAAAUGGCUAAGUCAGAAGUAGCAGUUGCCACGACCCUUGCGGAUGCUCUGUAUAUGAAGGAUGAUGAAGUGAUUGCAGCUAAGCGAGAGCAUUUGGCCUUAACAGUCAAUGAGACAAUGAAGAAACCUUCAAGAAUGAAGAUUGUGGACAAUGAGAAGAGCGGGAGAGUAACUUAUCAGAAACUCAAAAAGCUUUGUUGAAAGAUUUGAUACCAAUCUUGACAACUAGGACAUCAGUGACCUGUACAAUACUUGGAUCCGUAGCUGUUUGGGUCUAUAUGAUAAAGGGAGAUUGAAUUUGGAGCUUGAGGUUUGACUGAUAAGUGUGCAUUGAACUUAGUUUUGAGGACCAAUCAGACACUGUUACACUUAUGUUCAAGGUCUUCAUCAAGAUAUCAGUAGGGAAAGUUCUUCAUCAAGAUAUCCGUAGGGAGAUGGAUCACAAAGGAGGACGGUUAAUAAAGAUAUGAAGUUCAGUUAUUAAAAGAAUAAUUGCACACAAAAGAAAAAAAAUUAAAACUCUUGCGGAAAACGUACUCUAUAGAAUGUAGGACAACCUUAAUAUAUCUCAUAAUUGUAACACAAACCCAAAGUUAGUAGCCAUUAGUAUCUACAAACCUUAACAUUUGGUUAAACAACUAAAAUCUGGUAUUGAUCUGGUAUUGUAAAACGAUUAGAACUCCAUAUUUGUCUUAUUCAAAUAUAUAACACAUUCAAUAACAAAAUAUAAAACCCACGGCACCUUGAAAUACUUUACCACUUAAGUAAUUUGUUGGUCUUUUCGGCUCUAUUCUUUGUCUUCAAUCUUUUAUUUGGGCUACAAUAGUAUGAGUCUUACGAUAAUCAAAUAGCAAUUAACUAGAUUUAGUCUUUUGUUUUGAAACAAACUAGAUUUAGUUCAUCGGUCAAUUUUCUUUCUACGUCCAUAUAUGGUCAUUAAUUUAUCAUAAAUGUAAUUAUUUUAAACCUUUAGAAUGACGAGGGGUUUGAAAAAACUUCAAAAUCAACGUGCCGUUAACCAAUACUACAAAAUAGAGGAGGCAAAAACAUUGGUACAAUGACGGUUAAUUUUCAAAUCAAUUACAUGGAAGCCAAAAAGAGAAGUCAAUGCAACUCCGAGUCCGAAGUAUUUUAUGUCCCAAAAUAUUUUCUUGCGAGCUCUUUUGAGCAAAAACAUCUAUCUAUUUGUAUUUAAUUGAUAACUAAAAGCUGGUUAUGAAAUAAAAUUUCUGUAUUAUAUUGAAGAAAUCUCUAAGAAUAAAAUUAUUUCUUUACUAAAUAAAAUAGAGAAACAUUAAGUAUAAAGUUAACAUUAGAUAGUAUAUUAAACUUUGGAAACAAACCCGGAGGGUUAAAUACAAAUAAAACAAAAAAUAAGUAUAACAAAUUCAAAACUAUAUUAUAUUUUUUCCCAUGUAUUAUUUGUGUGAUCAAAUUUCAAUAUUUUAACUAAAAUGACCCAAAAUGUAUAUACAACUA